rnacentral:misc_RNA from 1 species
GAUGAAGAACGUAGCGAAAUGCGAUACGUAAUGUGAAUUGCAGAAUUCAGUGAAUCAUCGAGUCUUUGAACGCACAUUGCGCCCCCUGGUAUUCCGGGGGGCAUGCCUGUCCGAGCGUCAUUGCUGCCCUCAAGCACGGCUUGUGUGUUGGGUCUCCGUCCUCCUCCCGGGGGACGGGCCCGAAAGGCAGCGGCGGCACCGCGUCCGGUCCUCGAGCGUAUGGGGCUUCGUCACCCGCUCUUGUAGGCCCGGCCGGCGCUUGCCGACACAUCAAUCUUUUUUCCAGGUUGACCUCGGAUCAGGUAGGGAUACCCGCUGAACUUAAGCAUAUCAUAAGCGGAGGA